UUAUUCUUCUUCUAGAUGCAUUCUUUCUCCAGGUUUUCCUUCCCUCGUGCUCUUCUCUCCAAGAGGCUACUUCCCUAAUGUGGAUUCUUUCUAUAUUAGGCUCCAGUCUACCUCAAAGGAACUUUCUUUCUCUCUCUAAGAGGAUCUCCUCUUCUCUCUGACUUUCUUUCAUUUUGGUUCUCACCUAAGAGGCUUCUCUCCUCUCUUCUCUCUCUCUAGAAAACCAUACCAAGCUCUUUUUGGUUCUCACCUAAGAGGCUUCUCUCUUCUCUCUUUCUCUAGAAAAGGAUACCAAUAAUAGGGCUGGCAACAAGCCAUGCUUAGGUUGGGCCUACACCAGCCCUAGCCCAACCAUAGUUCCUAUGGGGUCAGCUUGGAUUUAACUGAGCCAAAACGGCCUUGGCCCAAGCCCGUUCCUAGCCCUAUCAGGGCCGGUCCAAGCUGGACAAGGCCAAGCCAAAAAAUAAAAAUAAAAAGCAAGAAAAAUAAUAAGGAAAAAGAUAAUCAGGCCAGGCCAAACCAGUUGGUCAUAGCCCAAGCCCAACCCAGCUUUACCCUCAAGCUAUAGUUGCAUGGCACUGGCCUGGCCCUCAGGCUACAUUUUG
rnacentral:lncRNA from 1 species